CAACAGUUUGGAGACGGGGGGAGCCAGAUUGAUUUCAGUAUUUUGGAAGCUAGUAGCAGGUUAGUUUUUGUGUGUUACAGUGUGUGAGUGUGUGUGAGCAGUGUUUGUAGUAGUGUUGUUUGUAAGUCUGUGUGUUAAAAUGAGUCGUCGUUUGACUGUGGAGGAAGCUAGCUCUGAGCUGAGCUGAAGAAACGAGGAAGAGGAGUGAGCUCAGGUGUGGGCUUCAAACUCAGAGAGGAAGAGGAGGAGGAGGAGGAGAAGUUGCCCAUCCACUCUGUCAGGCCCAAAACACAGAAACCACAGUCGGACCAGAACCAGAACCAGAUCCCUGUUGGCUACAGCAGCUGAAACAGGUACA